rnacentral:rRNA from 1 species
ACUAAGCAUAUCAAUAAGCGGAGGAAAAGAAACCAACAGGGAUUGCCCUAGUAACGGCGAGUGAAGCGGCAUCAGCUCAAAUUUGAAAUCUGGCUCUUUCAGAGUCCGAGUUGUAAUUUGCAGAGGGCGCUUUGGUGUCGGCAGCGGUCCAAGUUCCUUGGAACAGGACGUCACAGAGGGUGAGAAUCCCGUACGUGGUCGCUGACCUACACCGUGUAAAGCCCCUUCGACGAGUCGAGUUGUUUGGGAAUGCAGCUCUAAAUGGGAGGUAAAUUUCUUCUAAAGCUAAAUACUGGCCAGAGACCGAUAGCGCACAAGUAGAGUGAUCGAAAGAUGAAAAGCACUUUGGAAAGAGAGUCAAACAGCACGUGAAAUUGUUGAAAGGGAAGCGCUUGCAGCCAGACUUGCUUGUAGUUGCUCAUCCGGGCUUUUGCCCGGUGCACUCUUCUGCGAGCAGGCCAGCAUCAGUUUGGACGGUUGGAUAAAGGCCUCUGUCACGUACCUUCUCUCGGGAAGGCCUUAUAGGGGAGGCGUCAUGCAACCAGUCUGGACUGAGGUCCGCGCAUCUGCUAGGAUGCUGGCGUAAUGGCUGUAAGCGGCCCGUCUUGAAACACGGACCAAGGAGUCUAACAUCUAUGCAUGUUUGGG